GCUAAUCUAAUAUUUGAACUUAACCUAUAGAUGUGAAGAGCAGACAGCUAAGGUUUCUCUUUUUAAGAAUUGACUAACCAAGGCCUGGCUGAGUCACCUGCUUGACUAACCUUUGAGACAGAGAAGCCAGACCUCUAAGUAGCAAUUGAACACCAUGCCACAUCCCGCCCCUUGUUAUCACCUUGAUGUGCAGAACAGGGCUUUCGAGAACAGUCCAUUCUUGCUUAUCCUUGCAAACAGGGUGUCUCUUUUUAGGCAAUACCAACACAGUCAGCCCAAAGCUGCAGAAAUUUUUAAAGCAUGUCCCUUUAACCUUGGGCUACUUUUUUGUUUUAACACUUGAAAUGUGUGUGGCUGUUGUUCAAAAGUUUGCACCCUUUGAAACAAAAUAACAAAGCUACAACACUGAGGUCUGACUGAGGCAAUGCUCAGAAACUGCCUUUCUUACUCUUUCAUUCCAUCCCACACUGCUCCACAAUUUCACAGCAUGCACGUUUAGCCAAAAUCCUUCUGCAUCAAAAAAUAAACAUCUACUUUAGCUGACCUGUCACCUCUAAGCUGAUGUCUUCGGGGUACAGAAUUUUCCCUGGACAGAUGAGAAAAAGAGGGCUAGAUAUAUUUUUUGUUAAUUAAUUAAACAUUUGUUGAGGAGUUCUCCUGCAGCAUAGCAGGUUAAGGAUCUGGUACUGUCACUGCAGUGGCUUGGGUUGCUGCUGUGGUGCGGGUUCAAUCCUUGAUCUGGGGACUUCCACAUGCCACAAGCACAGCCAAAAAAAAGUUAAAAAUUAAAAACCCCAGAGUUCCCGUCGUGGCUCAGUGGUUAACGAAUCCGACUAGGAACCAUGAGGUUUUGGCUUUGAUCCCUAGCCUUGCUCAGUGGGUUAAGGAUCCGGCGUCGCCAUGAGCUGUGGUUUAGGUUGAAGAUGUAGCUCGGAUCCCACAUUGCUGCGGCUCUGGCAUAGGCCAGUGGCUACAGCUCUGAUUUGACCCGUAGCCUGGGAACCUCCAUAUGCCGUGCAGCGGCCCAAGAAAUGCAAAAAGACAAAAAAAAAAAAAUUUUAAAACCCCAAACCAUUUAUUGAGUACUGACUUGUUACACGACACUUCAUGUGCCAGGUACUGGUGGUACUGGGCCAAUGGCAUCAUUUCUGCCUUAAGGAUCUAGGCAGGUAAGUCAACAGCUGUGACAACAUACUCUAAGUGCUAUAGCACAAGUGGAGGGAGAGGGCAUUAAACAUGCAGAAGAAGGGCCCCUGGUCUACCUUGGGGGUUCAGAAGGCUUUCCUAGAAUAAGUGGGCGUUGAUCUUGAAGGAUGAGGGAGAGUUCUCCAGGUAACAAGGAGGGAAAAGGUAUUCCAAGACAAGAAAAUGGCUUGGGGGUGGGGGACAGAGUUAGGAGAGCAUAGGGUGAAUCCAGGCGGUUCCAAGUCCUUUGGGAUAGCUGGCACACAGCGCAAUAUGGAGUAGGAAGAUGAAGGAUGGGAGGUGAGGUGGGCAGGGCAAACCUUGGAGGACUUUAUACGCAAUACUAAGUUAUUUAGGCUUUACCUUAAGAUCUUGUUUGAUCUCAAGGUAAAGUCUAAACUGAAGAAUUUUAAGCAGAUGAGUUAGAUAAUCAAAAUUUCAUCCCAGGAAGGUCACUGUGCAUGCAGAGUAGAGAAUAGUUGGGAGGAGCCAGAAUAACACUGGAGUCGGAGACAUCAGUGUGGAGAUGACGGCAGUGGACCAGCCCUGAACUAAAGCAGCAACAGAGGGAAUGGCCAGGAAAAAGUGUCUGGGAAGCAGCAGGAACGUGGUUUUGUAAUGGAUGAGGUGGUGAUGGUGGACCUCGGGAAGAAGGGCAGCAUGACGCAGGUUUUUGUCUUAAGAGAAUCAAUAUUAGUGCCAUUAACAGAAGGAAGUAACCCCAGGAGGAUAAAAUCCAUUUUAAAAGGCUUCCGGUAUGGCCUGAUAGCUCUUACCACGAUAGAGGUGGCAUGAGGCACAACCAAGCUGACAUGGGAAUGAGCCAUUCAUCUAGUCAAGCAUUCAAGGAACGUGCUCUACACCAGACAUUCUGCUGGGCAGUGAGAGUCCUGUGCCUUGGGAUUGGCUUCCAUUCACAAUGCUAUUCCUCACCAGCCCUGGGACUUUCAAAGACCCAUGCACUUCUUUUUUUUUGUUUAUUUUGUUUGUUUGUUUUUGGUCUUUUUAGGGCCACAUCCAUAGCAUGUGGAAGUUCCCAGGCUAGGGGUUGAAUCAGAGCCACAGCUGCUGGCCUACACCACAGUCAUAGCAACACAGGAUCCAAGCCAAAUCCACGACCUACACCGCAGCUUGCAGCAACACAGAUGCUUAACCCACUGAGCGAGGGCAGGAACUGAACCGGCAUCCUCAUGGACACUCGUCAGGUUCUCAACCUGCUGAGCCACAAUCGGAACUCCCCCAUUCACUUCUGAGCGUCCACUUCAUCAUCUCAGAGACAAUAACCAGACCCUCAUCUUGCUAGGAUGAUCAUUAUAAUAACUCCGGGGAAAGCCCUUGGUAAAUUGUCAUCACUGUAACCCAGAGAAUCAUGUCAACAAAGAAGCCGAAAGCAGCGUUUGCCUUUAGGAUAAUGAACCAUACUGGAUACAGAAGAGCUGGGAAAAGCCAGGUGACAAAACUGAUCUUUAUAGCGGAGAGAAGUGAAGAGGGGACCCAGAAGGUCCAUCACCCCCUUCUUCCUACACCACACUGACCGUCCCUUUACCACAGUGCAAAGGGAGGUGACUUUUACGUGGGUAAAGGGAAAUACUCUGAAAUGCGUAAGAAAGUUUGUAAAGCUGAGAACAGUUACCAGGAACAUUUCUCAUUUUAAAUAAUAAUCUCUUUUAGCUGGUGCUUCCGGUGAGUACAGGUUAAUUUAAAAUAUGGUACAGUAAAACAGGUGGAGUUCUUUACAUUUCCGUGGCUCUAAUAGUAAAACAAAGUGCUUUCAGUUUUAUGAAUUUCAUGGAAUUCACCUCUUGGUGUCCUGACAAUGACUCUGAAGCACAGCAGAAAUUACUGCCCCCUUUUUGUAGAUGAAAGAAUUGAGAUUUUUGAGGAUCUAACAAGCUUAUUGAAAGAGUGAACAUCAAACAGCUCGUUGAUAUCAGCUUGAAUCCACAUCUUUUGUCUCUAAGAUCAAGGCUUUUUAAUACUAUCAGGAUCAGAGGUUUUGAAAACGCUGUGAAAUAGUGUUCAGCAAAUCCUUUCUCUGUUUCCCAAAGAACAGGUCUAAAAAGGUAUUUUGGAGAAUUCCUUGCUCCAUCUCCAACUCCUUUGCUUUCCCAAAUCUUGAAACCCUUUUCUCUGCUGGGUCUUUUCUCUUUCCUACAACAUAAAAGGGUCUCUCCUCUCCCUGGAUGGUUUCUUCUCUUCUAGAUUUGACCCUCUCUCUCCCCUCUCUUCUUGGUCAGAGUUUUUGAAAACCAGAGCACAAAGUGGUCUGCACCCCCUCAGCAGCUUCCUGUACUUCAACUCUCUGAGGCCAGGCUUCUGCUUGUUCUGCUGCACUGAACUUGAGCUGCUGGAGUGACUGAGGACCUUCCAUAGUCACAUUUCUCGGGCCUUCAAUGGGACCUCUGUGUGGCCUCAACACGGUCGGCCACGACUUCUCUCUCCUUGGCUUCUGCACCCCUUCUCCAGACUCGUCCCUCUCUUUCCCUUUGUUCUCGCCUCCUUCACGGGUCGGCUCCCCUCUCCCUGCCUGUCCAGGAAAGUCUCGUGUUCUCUAGAGACCCUGACCUUCUUCUCUUCUCACUCCUCAAGUGAGGAAGGUAGACAUCAACCUUUUGGUGUUUGCAGCACAUUUCAGGAGAACAGAACUGGGAGAGGCAGCAUCAGGGGACCUAACUGCAUCCACAAGUAGUGACCUGCGCCCUUGGUCACCCUUGGGCACAAUGUUGCUGUUUAAGUAGAACAGUCUGUUCUCUUUUAUGUGCUGUGCUCAUGAAGUUGUUUUCUCAACCAUCCCAGGAACCUGCAGGAAUCAGCUCCAGCCUGAUGCUAAGCGAUGGAAUGCCAUGUCUCUUAACUCUGACUUCUCAGCAAAGUGGAGCCUCCUCCCUGUGCAGAAACGUGCACAGGAGGCUCGUGGCUGAAUCCUACCUGACAGGCAGCACCACCUUCAGCCAGCUACGGGCUUUGAUGCACGAGGUGGUGGAGCAGCCUUUACACAGAUGGGAAUCACUGCCCGAGAUCGUCACACUCCUCUACGGCUGUAUCUUUUAUCAUCAUCGUCGUAACCAUUUUUAUUAUUACUGUGAUAAAAUAUACACAGCAUAAAAUUACCCUUUUAACUAUGUGAAAGUGUACCAUUCAGUGGCAUCAAGUACAUUCACGAUGUUGUGCAAUCAUUACAACUAUUUGGUUCCAGAACAUUUCUAUCCCCCUAAAUGGAAAGCCUGGUCACAUUAAGCCUCUCUCCAGAUCCUGGCAACCACUAAUCUGCUCUCUGUCUCCACGGAUUUGCCAAUUCUGGAUAUUUCAUAUAAAUGGAAUUAAAUAACACAUGGCCUUUACUGUCUGGUUUCUUUGACUUGGCAUAACCCUUGCAAGGCUCACCCAUGUUGUGAUGUGUAUCCGUAGUUCAUUCCUUUUUAUUGGCAAAUAAUAUUCCACUAUAUGGCUAUAUCACAUUUUAUUUACCCAUUCAUCUGUUGAUGGACAUCUGGGUUGUUUACACCUUUUGGCUAUCGCAAAUGGUGCUGUGAUGAACAUUCAGACACAAGUUUUUAUUUGAAUACCUAUGUUCAAUUCUUCAGGGUAUAUGCUUAGAAUUGCAAUUUCUUUUCUUUUCUUUCUUGGCCACACCUGAGGCAUGCAGAAGUUCCCAGGGGCAGGGAUCAAACCCGAGCCACAGCAGUGCCAAUGCUGAGUCCUUAAGCACUAGGCCACCAGGGAACUCAAAGAUUGCAAUUUCUUUAUCAGACAAUAAUUCUGUUUAACUUUUUGAGGAAACACCAAACUGCUUCCAUAGCAGCCACACCAUUUUACAUUCCUGUCAUGAAUGUAUGAGGGUCCCAAUUUCCCCAUAUCUUCAUACUUAUUUUCCUUUUUUACUGCCUUUUUAAGUUCCAGCCCUCCACCUACGGAGGUUCCCAGGCUAGGGGUCCAAUUGGAGCUGUAGCUGCCAGCCUACACCACAGUGACAGCAACACCAGAUCUGAGCCGCUUCUUCGACCUACACCACAGCUCAUGGCAAUGCCAGAUCCUUAACUUACUGAGAGAGGCCAGGGAUAGAACUUGCCUCCUCAUGGAUACUAGUCAGAUUCCUUUCUGCUGAGCCAGGACAGGAACUCCUGUUUUCCUUUUUUAAAAAUUAUUGCCACUCUUAGUGUUCACUUGUGGCAUGGGUUUGAUCCCUGGCCCAGGAACUUCAGUAUGCCAUGAGUGUGACUAAAAAAUGAAGAAGAAGAAGAAGAAAAAACACAAAAACCCAUAGCUACCCUAGCGGGUAUUCCAAGGUUUUAUUUUUAUUUAUUUUUUUGUCUUUUCUGGGGCUGCGCCCGCAGCAUAUGGAGGUUCCCAGGCUAGGCGUCUACUCAGAGCUGUAGCUGCCAGCCUACACCACAGCUACAGCAAUGCCAGAUCCAAGCUGCAUCUGUGACCUACACCACAGCUCAUGGCAACACCAGAUCCUUAACCCACUGAGCAAGGCCAGGGAUUGAACCUGCAACCUCAUGGUGCCUAGUCGGAUUCGUUAACCACUGAGCCACGGACAGGAACGCCAAGGUUUUAUUUUUAAAUGCUAAUGAUUCUUAAAACUAUACUCCCGUGUAUUUACCCAAAAGAAAUAAAAACACUUCUCUAUAAAAAGACUUAUACACAACUAUCAAAGCAGCUUUAUCUGUACCAUCCCCCAAACUGGAAAGGCCCCAAAUGUCCACCAGCAGGUGAAUGGAUAAGCAAGUACUGGAAUAUCCAGGCAAUGAAAUACUAACCAGCAAGCAAUAAAUAGGAACAAAUUACACGAAACACAUGGAUGAAACACAAAUACAUUACGCUGAGCAAAAAGCCAGACACAAAAGAGUACCUCACGUAUGUUCAACACACAAAGCUCUAGAAAAGACAAAAAACUAAUCAACAAUAACAGGUCUGUAGCUGCCUGGGCCUGGGUGUAGGGACCAGCUGCAAAGGGGCACAAGGGAACUUAUUAGGGUGUUUGAAGUAGUUUAUUUAUUUUUUAUUCUUUAUGUUGUCUUUCGGGACCGAACCCGCAGCCUAUGGAAGUUCCCAGGCUAAGGGUCGAAUUGGAGCUACACUCGCCAGCCGACACCACAGCUCAUUUCAACGCCAGAUCCAAGCCGCAUCUGUGACCUGCACCACAGCUCACGGAAACGCCAGAUCCUUAACCCACUGAGUGAGGCCAGGGAUCGAACCCGAGUCCUCAUGGAUGCUAGUCGGGUUUGUUAACCGCUGAGCCAUAUUGGGAACUCUUGAAAUAGUCUAUAUGUUGAUAACAGUCAGAGUACGUAUUUGUUGGCAUUUAAAAUGAGUACACUUUAUCAUAUAUAAAUUAUUUUCAAUAAAGUUGAUAUUAAUAGUUUAUAUAUAUAGACAUAAACACACACUUACACACUUAUAGAGAGAGACUCUCAAAUACUUAGCUCGAGAUUCCAAUUCUCAUUUGCUCAUUUCUUUCAUAACUCAACAAAUAUGUAUUGAGUGCCUACUAUAGGCCAGUCUCUGGCCUGUAAGGAUGGCAUAAGGAUCCAAUGGAGACAGAGAUGGUUCCUGAAGUCAUGGAUACGGCGGUCUAGUCUGGGGGACAGACAUUAAACAAAUCACCAAACCAAUAAUGGCAUCAUUACAACUGUAAUAAAUGCUGCCGUCGAAAGUUACAUGGGUUUAUGAGCUCGUGUAGUGGAAGCUGACCUAGUCAAGUUUCAGGCAAGGGAGGCCUGGGUUAGCUGAGAUUUGAAAAAUGAGGAGGAGUUCAUUUGGGGAUGUUCUCUACAAAGAUGGAAAGGCCCAUGCAAGGGGCCUGUGACUAAGAAUAUGACCUCUUCAAGGACUGGAAAGCAGGCGAACAUGCCUGGAGCAAAGAGAAGGAGAGAGAGGGCUGAGCAAGUUGUUCUGGCGACUGAGUGCCUUCAGUGCUCAGGAUUUUAUUUUAUUUUAUUGGCUGAGCCCACAGCUUCCAUUUGUGGCUGGGCUUCCAUCUGUGGAAGUUCACAGAUGCACCAAAUCGAACCUGCACCACGGCAGCGAUAACAUCAGAUCCUUAACCGCUAGGCCACCGGGGAAUCCUCAGAAUCUUGGUAAUUAUCAGAGCAACGCAGAGUCGCUAAACCACAGAUAAUGGGAGUUAGCAAGAUCAGCUUUGGGUUUCAAGACCAUCUCUCCGGCCACACUGUGAAUAAUGGUGUGAAAGAGAGAAGCAGCAUGUGGCACAGUGAUCAGAUAAGAGGCAUUAUCUUAUGGAGGUGGAAGUGCUGGAGACAGGUGACAGGCUCUGGUAUCAGGUGGCGUUGGUGCAGAAGGGUAGAAGUGGAUAGGGCCAAGAGCCGAAGUCCACCAUGGAGAGGCGCCACGAGGAAUGGCUGGGUGGCCCGGGUGGAUGGAUGGGGAGAGGGGCAACACCAAAAAUGGAUCAGGUUUGGUAGGAAGACCAUGAGUUCAAUUUCAACAUGUGGAGUUUGAGGCUCCUGGUCCAUCAAGCUCCUUCAGACUUUCUCUUCGCUGAAAUGGCUUCCCUUUCCGAGUUUCAGAUGGGAAACUCCGGUUCAUCCACGGAAGGCCAGCUCAGGUGUUACUGUUCCCCUUCUUCCCCCUCGGGCAGUGGUCUUCAUUUCUUUUCCUACGUCAUGUCUGCAUUCAGGGAACUGUAAUACUCUCUUUACAAGCUUGUGUUCUCUUCUAAGCUGUUAGCUCCCUGGAGGCAGGGCUGCGAAUUCAUUUUAGCACCCCGAGAACCAGUAUAUUACCACCCUCUAAUAGUUGCUCUAUUUACAAGUAGAAAUAUGUGAGAGGCGAGCUACUGCAGGCAUUUGGUGAGCAGGUGAGCAGUGAGAGAAGAGAUUUUGCCCUUUACCAGGCCGCUGUAUCACUUAGGAAUACAUUUGUCCACAAGGAACAGAACACCCAGCCUUAGUGGCUUAAACAAGCAGGGGAUAUUUUUCUUACAUAUCAAAAAAAAGUUCAGGGGUGGGACGUUGCUGGCUUGGGUUCGAAUGCCCAGCAGUACCGCACCGACUCUAUUUUCCACUCUGUCAUCCUGAUUAUACCGGCUUCUAAGCCUCAUGUUCAGUGUCUCUGAGUUGUUAACUGGUUGUAGCAUUACUAGUCACCUCCUUUGUGUUCAAGGCAUAAAGAAAUAGGAUUGUAAUGUAUACAUGUAAGGAUAACUUGAUCCCCUUGCGGUACAGUGGGAAAAUAAAAAUAAAUAAAUAAAUAAAGCAGCAGGUAUUUGAAAAAAAAAAAAGAAGAAAUAGGAAAUGGAGGGUCAGAGUCAGCAAAGAUUUCUCAGAACGUGUUCCCCCCGCCCCAACUCCCUCUUUCAACUUAUAGGUCAGAACUGGGUCAAUGACUUCCUUAGCUGCAAGAAAGACUGGGAAAUCAGGAAUGGGGCUGUCAGGGUCGUCUUGGACUAAUCAU
rnacentral:lncRNA from 1 species